CACGUAGGGUGCGAGCGUUGUCCGGAAUUAUUGGGCGUAAAGAGCUCGUAGGCGGUGUGUUGCGUCGGCUGUGAAAACCCGAGGCUCAACCUCGGGCCUGCAGCCGAUACGGGCAGACUAGAGUUCGGCAGGGGAGACUGGAAUUCCUGGUGUAGCGGUGAAAUGCGCAGAUAUCAGGAGGAACACCAAUGGCGAAGGCAGCUCGCUGGGACGGUACUGACGCUGAGACGCGAAAGCGUGGGGAGCAAACAGG
rnacentral:rRNA from 1 species